rnacentral:lncRNA from 1 species
CUUAUUCAAAUUUGCACAUCCGCACCCCCAAAGUCCAAAGUUUAUUAGAAAGGGUUUUAAGUGAGCAUUUCAAGAACUAACAAAUGGCGCAAAGCCUUAAGCACAGUAUAGAAUCCCUUGAAACUGAAGAAGAAGAAGAAGAAAAGGUUCGCCUUGUUAUACUAAUGAAUUCUCUUUUACAAACAUUUAUUUUUCUAUAUUUUUUGGUUAUUGCUAACUAUUAAUUUGAUAAAAUUGCAAGUUCUUUUAUGACCUGUAAAUGCGUUUUUUGUGUUGUUUAUGUAGCUUUUGUCUUAAGGUCUGCUUAUAUACUACCCUCCUUAGACAUUAAUUAUGGCAUUAUCUUUGAUAAUAGAGAUAAUUUUACAAUAUUAACCUUUAAAUUUAACACUCAAGGGUGUGGCAUAGUGGUUCAACGAAGUUGGAUUGAGCACCGUGAGGUCUCAGGUUCAAUUUCCAACAGAGACAAACACUAGGUGAUUUCUUUGUGAUCUAGUCUUGGUGGACAGAGUUACCAGGUGCUUGUGGCUGGUGGGAGGUGGCAGAUAUUCUGUGGAAUCAGUCGAGGUGCAUUGGAUAAUGCGUUAUUUAAUGCUAAGUGUAAAGUGAGUAGAAACAGGUAAAUUAUCCAUUGGUUUUAUAAACUAGACAAGUAUGGUUGGACAUCCCAAAAUUGAUAAGUGGAUAAGUAAAAAUGGUAAUUUUACCAUAUUGCCCUUUGGAUAUAAUAAAUUUAGCAUCCAAGGGUGUGACCUAGUGGUUCAAUGAAGUUGGAUUGAGCACCGUGAGGUCUGAGGUUCAAUUCCCAACAGAGACAAAUACUAGGUGAUUUCUUCCUAUUCUAGUGUUGGUGGACAAAGUUACCUGGUACCUGUUGCUGCAGAGAGGUGACAUGCAUUCUGUGGAAUUAGUCGAGGUGCAUUGGAUAAUGAAUCGUUAUUUAAUGCUAAGUGUAAAGUGAGUAGAAAUAGGUAAAUUAUCCAUUGGUUUUAUAAACUAGACAAGUAUUGUUGAACAUCCCAAAAUUGAUAACUAGAUAAGUAUAAAUAGUAAUUUUAUGAUAUUACCCUUUGGAUAUAAUAAAUUUAGCAUCCAAGGGUGUGGUCUAGUGGUUCAAUGAAGUUGGGUUGAGUAUAAUGAGGUAUCAGGUUCAAUUCUCAACAGAGAUAAACACUAGGUGAUUUCUUCUUGUUCUAGUCUUGGUGGACAGAGUUAUCUGAUACCUAUUGCUGGUGGGAGGUGGCAGGUAUCCCGUGGAAUUAGCUUCGAGGUGUGCCCAAGAUGGCCUGAAUACCACGGUUAUAAAAAAAUAUAAUAAAUUUAAAGCUUUGGAAAAUGCAUUGGAUAAUGAAUCGUAUUUAAUGCUAAGUGUAAAAUGGGUAGAAACAGGUAAAUUAUCCAUUGGUUUGUAAACUACAUAAGUAUUGUUAGACAUUUCAAAAAAAAAAAGUGGACAAGUAAAGAUGGACGGAGGGAGUUAUUGAUAAAAUUGCAAGCUGUUUUAUGGCCUGUAAAUGUUUGUGUUGUUUAUGGAACUUUUGUCUUAGGUUUGCGUACGCACUACCCUCCUUAGACACUAUGGCAUUAUAUUUGAUUGAAAUCUACUCCCUCCGUUCAUCUUUACUGGUACAUUUUCCUAUUGGCAUAGGAAUUAAUAAGCAAUAAAUAAUAAAUAAUAAAAGUAAUUUUACUAUAUUACCCUUUGAAUAUUGUAAAUUUUAAUACUUUGGGAAAUGUAUUGGAUAAUGAAAUGUAUUUGAUUGAAAUCUACUCCUUUAAUUUCAAAUUUUGUUAGAUUGAUAAGAUCCUGGUAUUUGACCUAAUAUGUCCUUUAUUAUGCUAAGUUCUUGUUUCUCUUGUGUUCCAUAAUUCCACUUGAGUUUUUCAUGGAUGGAUUGCAGUGGCGUAGCCUGGAUUUUUAUUGAGGGAGUUCAAAGUGCACACACGAACUAGUCGAUGAGGGUUCAACAUCUGCUAUAUAUACAUAAAAAAUAAUUUUAACUAUAUAUAAAUAGUUUAAUUUCCGCUGAAGGGAAUUCGAAUGAACCCCCUCAUUAUAUGCUAGCUCCGGUAUUGGAUUUUGUUGUGUCCUUAGAUUUCUUUAGUCUACCAUUUCUAGUUGUGAACAUUGGGAUGACAAUGGAGAGGGAUAGGUGGAGCAGGUAACGCCUUUACUAACUUUAGUUGUAACCAACCCCACCCUGCCUUGUGUGCCAAUCAUGACCUUCCAAGUACUCUAGGUUAGGCCUCCCUCUUCUCCCCAUCCUAUCGGCAUCUUAUGGAGUAGAAAUUAGUGGCGGACUAAGUUGCAAGGACUCCACUUUCGAUGCUGCACCCGUGUCGGGUUCUCCAAAAAUACACUAACUUUGGCGAAUCCGACACGUACACAUGGACAUUUUUGAAGAGUUAGAGCAAUGUAGGUGGCGGAUGCAGCCCUUUGGCAAUGUGUUUAUCUGUCCUAUAUGUGUGUGUGCGCGUGCGUGUGUGCGCGUGCGGAUGUGCGCACACGUGUGUGCGUGUGUCUGUGUAUAAGUCAAUCAAAAUCUGAACACGUAAUUUUAAAAUACAAGUAGUUCAACAUUAGAAUAUUUAAAGAUCAAACUCAUCAAAUUUAAAUUCUUGAUCUGCCUCUACUUGUAGUGUGUCAGACUAUGCUAGUUUGCAAAUUUGAUCAGCAAGAGUCCAAUUAUAGGCUUUAAUAAAAGAAAAGUGGCUUCACUAAAUAAAUCGGAUUAGCCGAAUUAAGGAAAUAAAUGUACAUUCUCUCUAACAUCAUUUAGAUGAGAUGAGUACAAACCGAGGUCAUGCGUUCGAAUUUCACUGCCAGCCAUAUCAUAAAACGUUCCACAUGCUUGACACUUUAAAAAGUAUUAGUUCACAUCGGAGGAACGUACAAAUAUAAUUAAGUAAAUAAAGGUGUUCGCUAUCUAAGUAUGAUAGCUGUACAUGUGAUUGAUAAUUUAGGAGUUAUCUAUGUAAAAUGUGAAGAUCUUGAAAUACAUCAUAAUAAGUUCGAGAAAAUGAUCUGUUACCCCCUCAACCUUUAGUCGAAAUCCUAACUACACACUCAACCUUUUAAUGUGACCUAUUACCUCCUGAAUUUAUUUUUAUCGAAUUUAUUACCCCCCAGUUGCUGACGUGUCACUGGACGUGACUACACACGCCCAUAGGCGCGUCAGUUGACUUUUUUUCACUUUAAAAUUAUUAUUUUUUUAUUGCCACGUCAUUAUUUUUAAUAAUUAUUAUUUUUUCUUAAUAAAUAUUGGCUUCUUCUUCUAUUCUUCUUCUUCAAUGGCUUCUUCUUCACCUUCUUCUCCUUCUUCUUUUUCUUCUUCUUCUAUUCUUCUUCUUCAAUGCCUUCAAUGGUGCAGCUUUAAUGGUGAAAUGUCGAUGAACAGUGACGGCGUCGGAAAAUUCAAAAUUCCGUCGACUUUUUUUUUUUGAUGAAUUUUACGUAAUUCGAUUCAACAUUUUGAUUCAACACGUUGAUUCAACAUUCGAUUCAACUUCACGUAAUCAAUGACAUUUGGCUUUUUUGAUUCAACAUUCUCACAUAAUUCGAGUUCUUGGAUGUCAUUGAAAAAGAAGAAGAAGAAAUGCCAUUAAUGAGUUCUCACUUGAACUAAAAACUUCGAUUCAAAAAACUUAAGAAAAAAUUAAGAACUUGAAUUCUUGAAUGAAGAGAUGAGGAAGAUGAUAAAUUAAUCUUGAAUGACAUUGAUUAGUUCUUGGAUGCUAUUGAAAAAGAAAUGCCAUUGAACACGAAUUAACUUGAAAAAAUUUAAGGACUUUAAUUCUUGAAAGAGGAGAUGAUGAAGAUAAUAAAUUAAUCUUGAAUGUCAUUGAUGAGUUCUUGGAUGCUAUUGAUGAAGAAAUGCCAUUGAAGAAAAAGAAUUGAAGACGAAGAAGAAUUGAAGAAGAAAAAAGAAAAAUAAUAAUUGCCAUUGAUGGGUUCUUGGGUGCCAUUGAAGAAGAAGAAAUAAAUAAGAAGAAUUGAAGAAGAAGAAGAAGAAGAAGAAGAACAAAGAAAAAUAAUAAUGUUAAAUUAUUAUUAUUUUUUUAGAGUAAAAAAUUUAAAAAUGACGUGGCAAUGACGUGGCAUGACGUGACGGCGUGUGCAUCACACCAUAUUUGUAAUGACUGGUUGUCAGUUUGGGGGGUUUUAAUAAUUCCACUUUAAAAUAGUUCAAGGAGAUAAUAAUUCCAUUUUGAAAUAGUUCAGAGGGGUAAUAGGUCACCUUUAAAGAUUGAGCGUGCAGUUGGGAUUUGAGGUAAAGAUCGGGGGGUAACAUACCAUUUUCUCUAAUAAGUUCUUUUAAUACUUCAAGAUAUCAAUGUCAAGCCUUAUUGUUUAUGAUUAUUAUUUUUCCAUUAAUAGAAGAGUUGAAUUUAGUAUAUAAUAGGCAAAAAUGUAUGCCACUAUGAGAUUAUAAUCUUUCACAUUUAUUAUGAUGUUUAAUAUUAUUUUAAUGAUGAAUCCAUGUUGAGCUGAUCCGUGUACAUUUGUAUUCACACAUAUAAGCUUUCGUCAUUUAAUGAAGAAUUACAUUUAGUUUUUAAAAGGCAAAAAAUUGUACCUUUAUGAAUGAGAGUACGUAAUUUAUUCACAUUUCAUAUUGAGGUUUAUUAUUUUUUUCUAUUAUAAAUGUUGGUUAAUCUAAUCCGUGUAGUGAGUACAUUCAUAUUUCACACAUACAAGACACUUCACUUGAAAGUCAAAGUUCUUUUGUGUGCUUGAAAUAUUGGUUUCUUACAUAUAUAUACAAUGAGACUCCUUUGUGUUCAUGCAAUUGAAUUUUAAAUCAUGUGCAAUUAGCUAAUACACCGAAGGUAAAAUUUAUCUAUUUUUGCUGGUCUAAAAAUUGAAGAACAAUCGUGUUCUUUUAGUUAAAUGUUAUUAUUAAAGGCACCUCUUAUAUAAUCAAUCCAUUAAGCAGGUCGGGUCAAGAUUGGAUCGGGUUCAGGGUGGGUUAGGUCCUAAAUAAAUCUAAUUAUUGAUUUUGGAAUUGGAAAGCAUAGUAAAUAUUGAAAAAGACACUCUUUUUAGGACAAACCAAAAAGAAAAAUAAGACACUUAAAUUGAGAUGAGGGAGUGUUAAAAUUCAUUUUUGUAUGUGGCGAUUGUUUGAUGAACUUUUGAGUACUAUAUAUUUAUAAUAAUGUCUAAGUGUUAGCAGAGGUAAGUAAUAUGAAGUUUAAGGUUUAGAUCCUACUUUUGAUGGACAAUGAAUAGCAUCAUAUCCCUCGAGAAGUUGUUUUCCCUCAUACUAGGCACAAUGAUAUGACCAUAAAAUUUUUAUGGCAUCACUAGUUUCAAAUAUUGUUCUUUCUUUCUUCGUUCAAUUCCAUGUCUAGUCAAAUAGGUUCAUAGAGCAUGAAGUGGAGGGAGUAGUAUAGAAUUGUAGUUUCCUAUUAGGGAAGAUAGCUUCUUUGAUUUCAAAAAAAUUGUUAGCCUGAUAGAUCUUGGUAUUUGACCUAAAAUGUCCUUUAUUAUGCUUAGUUCUUUCUCUUUAUGAUCCAUAAUUCAAUUGAGUGUUUCAUGAAUGGCUUGUAUUGUGAAUACACUAGUAUAUUGUUGUUGUCGUUGUUGCUUGUAUUGUGAAUAUAGGGCCUAAAAUAUUAACUUGUUGGCAGGGUAGGCGGAGCGGGUAAUUCCCUGUCCAACUAUAGUCUCAACCAACCCCGCCCUACCUCAUUUUUAUCGAGUAAAAUAUUUCAUUGAUAAUAAAAAGGCCAUCUUGGCCAUAUAUAAGAGGUAUACCAAAAGGAGAAACCUACAAAAUAUUGUUCUCUCCAAAAGUUACACAAUCCUAUAUACAGAUAGGAACUAUGUGGGUGCACCAAAAGAAAAUAAGUGAUCAAAGACUGCUCCUUAAUUGGGCAAAGCUUGUCUACACCCCUUCAAAAGCUUUCACAUUUCUCUUUCCAAAUAAUCCAUCAAGACAAGGGGAGUAACAUUCCAAGCCUUGUGCCUUCUUCUCCUAGCUCCACUCUUCCAGUUGAACAACAACUCCUUCACAGAUCUUCGCACUGCCCAAGAAACUCCAAUUCAACUAAAGAUAUCCCACCAUAACUUCAUGCUAAAUUUCAAUGUAGUAAAAUAUGAUCCACGUCCUCACCUGCUUGGCGACAAAGGAAAUGCCAUCUUAGGCUGACAACUUCUGAUUUCCUCAAACUUUCGCCUUUAAAAUCACCUCUCUAGGAGCUAACCACGUAAAGAAACAUGCUCCUCGGAACCUUACAAAAUCUAUGUUGGAUCAUAUGGAUAGCUAUCCUACGGCCUGACAUGAAUCUUAUCGUAAAAGGACUUGACAGAAAAUACCUUAUUAUUUCUCAACUCCCAACUCAAUGCAUCGGUCUGCCGACCGGCUAACAUUGCUUGUGAAGUAGCAAGCAAUCUCUGGAGCUCAGUCAACUCCCAGUGUUGGAAAUCGCUCAUAAACCUCAAAUCCCAAAAAACCCAUCACCUGCCUCAUGCACCAUUCUUGCCCCUCCAAGCCCCCUCAGGCUAAGUCUCUCUGUUCGCCCUACUCUACUGGCAUCCUAUGUACUUGAAAUCAGUAGCGUAUGUAGUCUUUCGUCAAUGUGUUCUUCCAGCCUAUAUAUGUGUGUGUGUGUCUUGUGUACAAGUCCAUCAAAAUGUCAACAAAUAUGAAAGUUGAACAUACAAUUUUAAUGUAUAGCGAGUUCAACACUAAUAAAUUUAAAGAUCAAACUCAUCAAAAAUUUAAAUUCUAGAUCUCAUAUACUUGUAGUGUCAGACUAUGCUAGUUUGCAAAUUUGCUAACCACAUGCCUUAAUAAAAGAAAGCUUGCUUCAGUUGCCUAUUUGAUUUAAUUAGUCCACUGGAUCAGAUUGCCACCACCAAAUGUUGAUAACAUAGUUAAGUACGUAAGUACGUAUUCUCUCUAACACCCUUUAGGUGAGAUGAUCACAGGCAGAGGCAGAGGUCGUUCGAGUUUCACUGCCAGUCAUAUUAGAACAAAUUCCGCGUACUUGAUACAUUAAAAAGAAUUAGUCCACACAUUAGGGACGUGUUAACAAUAUAAUAUAAUUAAGUAAUCAGAAGUGUACACUCUCUAAGUAUGAUAUAUGUACAUGUGAUUGAUAAUUUAGGAGUUACCAUGUAGAUUAUGAAGAUCUUGAAAUACAUCAUGAUAAGUUCUUUUAACAUUUCAAGAUAUCAAAGUCCAUCCUUAUUGUUUAUGAUUGUUGUUUUUCCAUUAAUGAAGAACUAAAUUAGUUUUUAAAAGGCAUAGAAAUAUAUCAUUAUGAAAUUACUUAAUUUAUUCACAUUUUACUCUGAGGUUUAAUACUUUUUCUGUAAUAAUAACUUUAGGUUGAUCUGAUUUGGAUACAUAGUAUAUCAUUAUGAGAUUACUUAAUCUAUUCAUUUUUUUUUCUGGUGAAGUUAAUCUAUUCAUAUUUUACUUCGACGUUUAAUGUUUUUUCUAUAAUAAUAAUUGUAGGUUGAUCUGAUUUGAGUACAUAGUAUAUCAUUGUGAGAUUACUUAAUCUGUUCACAUUUUACUAUGAGGUUUAAUGUUUUUCUAUAAUAGAUGUAGGUUGAUCCGACUACACUUGUAUUCACAUGUAUAAGCUUUUGUAAAUUAAUGAAGAAUUAAAUUUAUUUUUUAAAAGGCAAAAAAAAAUAGGUGUGGAGGUCGCGAAUAAGGGUAGAAGGCUAAUGCGGGUGUGUGGGUUGUAGCUUGCAGUCUGGAGAGUCUUGUGUAGCCGGGUUAAUAAGCCUAGAGGUCCGUGUUCAUAGGGUCCUUGUUAUGGGAGUGUAGGUUAUUACUAGGUGGGUGCACUAAGUCUUAUGUCUUAGUACCUAUUUUCUUAUUCCAUGUCGCCCUUAUGUCUCGUAUUUCAUAUUUCUCUGAUGUCUAUUUUAUUCUUUCUUAUUCCUGAUUUUCUAUUAUGUUCUCCAUCCCUUUGUUUACUGUUCUCUACUCUGAGCCGAGGUCUAUCGGAAACAGUCUCUCUACUUCUUCGGAGGUAGCGGUAUGGACCGCGUACAUCUUACCUUCCCCAGACCCCACUCUUGUGGGAAUACACUGGGUAUGUUGUUGUUGUUGUAAAAGGCAAAAAAAUAUACCAUUAUGAGAUUGUGAAUUUCUUUUACAGUUCUUUUAGAAAAACAUUAUAAGAUUACUUAAUUUAUCCACAUUUUACUUUGAGGCUUAAUAUUCUUAUGGCACAUCCUUUAUAUAAUAAAUGUAGGUUGGUCUGAUCCCAAUACAUUCAUAUUCACAUAUAUAAUCUUUUGUUCACUUAGUGAAGAAUAAAAUUUGUUUUUAAAGAGGCAAAAGUGUAUAACAUUAUGAGAUUACUUAAUCUAUUCACAUUUUACUCAUGUUUAAUAGGUUGAUAUUCUGUGUGCUUGGAAUACUAGCUUCUUACAUUAUUUACAUAAUGAGACUCCUUUUUUCCUAAAAAUUUACAGCUGUCGCUUCAUUUAGUAGGUACAAAAAAUUGCAUUUUCAUCUAAAAUGAUCAUCGAUGAUAACUAGGUAAAUUUGAAGGACUAUAAUGACCAUUUUCUGUAAGUUGAGUGACCAUUUUAACUGUAGUCAAGAUUCAUGUAAUCUUGUUGUUUAGCGAAUUGCAUACAUUCAACUAUUCACCACUUCUUCUUUUUCUCCUCUUGUUAUUUUCGCUUUCUCUUGUUAUUUUCUCCAUUUCUUUUUGUGUGCUUUUGUAGGAGGUCUCAAUUUCUGCAGAAAAUGGGAUCCACUUGGAAACGCGUGAGACCUGUUGAAGAAGAAAAAGAAAAAGAGGCUAGAUCCUUGUAGAAAUAUCACCCUUUUUUUACUACUUUGCCGCAUUGAUAAGAUUCACACACCAAAAGAGCAACUAAUACUGCUAUUGGUUCAUUAGUUUUUAGGUUACGUUCUUGAUUGAAGAGAACUGAAGUAUCAGUUAUGUUUAGGUCUUUACUGUUCUUAACGGAAUGCUGCUAUUGCUUUCUUCUUUUCCAUUUAAGAAUUUUAGUUCUGGUUAUCUUUAUUUGCCCUUGAUUGAGUGGAUUUCUCCAACUCUAAACCAUUUCUUGCAUGAAGGGGAGGGUGAUAUGUAAAAAGCGCUA